rnacentral:rRNA from 1 species
GACGAACGCUGGCGGCGUGCUUAACACACGCAAGUCGAACGACGAACCUUCCAUGAUCUAUUCGUAGAGAUUGGAAGCGGAUUAGUGGCGGACGGGUGAGUAACGCGUGAGCAACCUGCCUUAAACAACGGGAUAGCCUCGGGAAACCGGGAUUAAUACCGUAUGAGACCCCGCCUUCACAUGAAGAAGAGGUUAAAGAUUUAUCGGUUUAAGAUGGGCUCGCGUCUGAUUAGCAAGUUGGUGAGAUAAAAGCCCACCAAGGCAACGAUCAGUAACCGGCUUGAGAGAGUGAACGGUCACAUUGGAACUGAGACACGGUCCAAACUCCUACGGGAGGCAGCAGUGGGGAAUAUUGCACAAUGGGGGAAACCCUGAUGCAGCGACGCCGCGUGAGCGAUGAAGGAAUUCGUUUCGUAAAGCUCUGUCCAAGGGGAAGAUAAUGACAGUACCCUUGGAGGAAGCCCCGGCUAAAUACGUGCCAGCCGCCGCCGUAA